rnacentral:lncRNA from 1 species
GAAAUCGUUGGUGAAGUCAUACUUGAUAAAUAAUGAGAAAUAUCCAUAUUCAAUUUAUGGAUUUCCACUCGCCUUGCAGGUAAUGUUUUUAAAAUUAUAAUUUAUUAUUCAUUUUGUUUAGAUUGUAAUAUUUUGCAUCUUAUGCAGAUUUGGGCCUAUGAAGCCAUACCAUCUAUUGGACGGAGAUAUGGUGAGAAUCUACAGGAGGCUGACCUCCCCAGAAUAUGUCGAUGGAAUUCUUCUGAAAUGCCUAACUACAAGGAUAUUGGUGCAAGUAUGGACGAACCAAAUGUAAGUAAAUUUUAAAUGUACAUCAAAAUAUGUAGUGUACUUUAUAACAACUAAGUGUGCCUCUCAUUUUUCAUAUAGAUUGUUGUUCAUUGCACACUGAAGCCUACGUCGGAAGAGGCUUCCAAAGCAUAUUGGACAGAGAUUCAUCGAUUCGAGGAUGAAGUAGAGGAUCCG